rnacentral:rRNA from 1 species
UACGGGGGGGGCAAGCGUUGUUCGGAAUUACUGGGCGUAAAGGGCUCGUAGGCGGCCAACUAAGUCAGACGUGAAAUCCCUCGGCUUAACCGGGGAACUGCGUCUGAUACUGGAUGGCUUGAAUCCGGGAGAGGGAUGCGGAAUUCCAGGUGUAGCGGUGAAAUGCGUAGAUAUCUGGAGGAACACCGGUGGCGAAGGCGGCAUCCUGGACCGGCAUUGACGCUGAGGCGCGAAAGCUAGGGGAGCGAACGGG